CCCACCUCUAGCCCCAGCCAAGCUGCCAAACCCUACCCCCCUCCCCCAAACUAAAACAUUCACAUAACCUAGUAUAGGCGAUAGAAAAGAUAUUAAGGGCGCAAUAGAGAGACACGUACCGCAAGGGAAAGAUGAAAUAGUAGUGAAACCCCAAGCACCAGACAGCAAAGAUCAGCCCUUGUACCUCUUGCAUCAUGAUCCAGCAAGAACAAUCAAGCAAAGUGAACUUAAGCUUGACCCCCCGAAACUCGAGCGAGCUACUUACGGGCAACUAUCAGAGUGAACCCGUCUCUGUCGCAAAAGAGUGGGACGACCUGCCAGUAGCGGUGAAAAUCCUAUCGAGCCGAGUGAUAGCUGGUUACCUGUGAAAGGAAUCUAAGUUCCGCCUUAACACCUCCAAGCGGACAUGGAACCCCCUCCCCCAUGAAAGGGUUAAGAGUACUUUAAAGGGGGUACAGCCCCUUUAAAAAAGGAUACAAUCUCUACUGGAGGAUAAUCGACCAUCUACCAGAAGCAGUGGGCCCUCAAGCAGCCACCAACAAAGAGUGCGUCAAAGCUCUACACCUUAAAAAUAUACCAACAACAUGACUCCCCCAUCACUACCAGGUUAACCUAUACAACAUAGGAGAAUUAAUGCUAGAAUGAGUAACUUGGGGUCCACCCCUCUAAAGCGCAAGCUUACAUCGCACUAUUAUUAACAGACCAAGAUCACCCAAAACCAUAACCAAGAGCAACAUAUUACUCUAACCUGUUAACCCAACCGCGGAGCGCACACUAGAAAGAUUGCAAUCUGUAAAAGGAACUAGGCAAACUCAGGGCCCGACUGUUUACCAAAAACAUAGCCUUCAGCCCCUGCAAGUAUUGAAGGUGAUGCCUGCCCAGUGACACCAUGUUUAACGGCCGCGGUAUCCUAACCGUGCGAAGGUAGCGCAAUCAAUUGUCUCAUAAAUCGAGACCUGUAUGAAUGGCUAAACGAGGUCUUAACUGUCUCCUACAGAUAAUCAGUGAAAUUGACCUCCCUGUGCAAAGGCAGGGAUAAACCCAUAAGACGAGAAGACCCUGUGGAACUUUAAAAUCAGCGGCCACUGUAAUCAGCUCUUCCCCCUCUACAGGGCCACCCCAACUUGCACACCUGGCCGCCAUUUUUAGGUUGGGGCGACCUUGGAGAAAAACAAACCCUCCAAAACAAAGACCAACUAUCUUGACUGAGAAUGCCACCUCAAUGUGCUAACAGCAACCAGACCCAAUAAAUUGAACAAUGGACCAAGCUACCCCAGGGAUAACAGCGCAAUCCCCUCCAAGAGCCCAUAUCGACGAGGGGGCUUACGACCUCGAUGUUGGAUCAGGACAUCCUAAUGGUGCAGCCGCUAUUAAGGGUUCGUUUGUUCAACGAUUAAUAGUCCUACGUGAUCUGAGUUCAGACCGGAGCAAUCCAGGUCGGUUUCUAUCUAUGACAUAUCUCCCCCUAGUACGAAAGGACCGGGGAAGUGGGGCCACUACUAAAUAGCACGCCCUCACCAAAAUAGUGAACGCCACUAAACCUCACAUAAAAUAAUUCACCCUAGAAAAGGGCAG
rnacentral:rRNA from 1 species